rnacentral:rRNA from 1 species
AACGAACGCUGGCGGCAUGCCUAACACAUGCAAGUCGAACGAGACCUUCGGGUCUAGUGGCGCACGGGUGCGUAACGCGUGGGAACAUGCCCUUAGGUUCGGCAUAACUCCCCGAAAGGGGUGCUAAUACCGGAUAAUGUUUUCGGACCAAAGCUUUAUCGCCUUUGGAUGGGCCCGCGUUGGAUUAGCUAGUUGGUAGGGUAAAAGCCUACCAAGGCGAUGAUCCAUAGAUGGUCUGAGAGGAUGAUCAGCCACACUGGGACUGAGACACGACCCAGACUCCUACGGGAGGCAGCAGUGGUGAAUAUUGGACAAUGGGCGAAAGCCAGAUCCAGCAAUGCCGCGUGAGUGAUGAAGGCCUUAGGGUUCUAAAGCUCUUUUACCCGGGAUGAUAAUGACAGUACCGGGAGAAUAAGCACCGGCUAACUCCGUG